UACGGAGGGUGCGAGCGUUGUCCGGAAUCAUUGGGCGUAAAGGGCGCGUAGGUGGCCCGGUCAGUCUUUGGUGAAAGCGCGGGGCUCAACCCUGCGUCGGCCAGGGAUACUGCCGCGGCUCGAGCACUGUAGAGGCAGGCGGAAUUCCGGGUGUAGCGGUGGAAUGCGUAGAGAUCCGGAAGAACACCGGUGGCGAAGGCGGCUCUCUGGACGGUGACUGACGCUGAGACGCGAAAGCGUGGGGAGCAAACAGG
rnacentral:rRNA from 1 species